UAGAAAACUAUUGAACCCUCUACUUAGCAGCUGAUGAUUUAAAUUUAAUAAAGGAGAAUGGGCCACUAAGAAUUCUCGUACGUCAUAUUCUGCAGUACAAUAAUUAUGAUGAAGUUUGCAUCACAUUUUAUAUCAGGCAAAACGAUGGAUGCCAGCUCUACACACUUCUUCUUCAUCAAAUUGCUACUUCCAUCAUAAGACCAUCAUAUACGUCGAGAUCAUUGCAGAACCAAAGACUGGGUGGAGAUGCUUCUAAGAGAGGAUUCUUGAUGCUCCCUGUUAAAUUUUCUUCUCUCCCAGGAAACUGGGUUAAGAGUGAAAAAGAAACCAAAAUCUCAGGUCCCAUUUCAUUUCUCUUAUAUCCUGCUUCAAAUACCACAGUCAUCAUGUGCAUGGAUUUUGUUGAAAAGAAUGGCAGAUACAGAAGAUUUUGUGCAGCAUUCUCAAAAGAAACCAGUCUCAGUAAAGAAUUAUGGGACAUCUAUGUGAGAACCACUGCUGAUGAUGGAAUCCCAAGAGAAAAUAUACGAGAUAUCCUCAAAAACGACACCUGUCCUCAAUGAAGCUACUGAUUUGGUUUCAAGAUUGAUCCAACUUGCUACAUAUCUGUCCAUGGCAUCUAAAUCACAAAUAUGAAGGUGGACCCAUCUUUCUUUCCCAAUUGUGCAUUCACCUCUCUUGUGUAGUUCAGAUUCUUCACACUGUUCUUUCCUCAAGUUUCUUCCCUUGCCCUGUUUAGUCGAAUUUUCUUUUUCUAUGAAUCAAUGAAUAAAUUUCAUCUUCUGCAUAAACUUU